UAUGACUUGAGCUGAUUUACCUCUUUUAAUCAAAAACCUUGUUGCGUGGAGGAGGCACUACUACUAAUGUCCUCAGUAAUGUAUCUAUUAAUAUUAAUAUCGCUAAUGUAUUACAUUGGAGGGGAAAUUAGGUUUACUUUGAAUAAUAGCAUGACAUAAAAUUAUUCUAAUCUGAAUGGGUGAAGUUGAUAAUGUUCACAACCCCCCUACCUUGAUGUCUGUAUGUGAGUGAGAGUCUUUUGAUAUUGGUUUUCUCAGUUUGUGUGAAUUUGGGAUACCUAUUGUGUUAUGGUCUUUGUCUGUCUGUUUGUGCUCUGGCUUUCUCUCUCUCUCUUCCUCUGUACCUCUUUCUUCAUUUCCUUCCCUCCUGGCAGCGGAGUUGUGGGCGUGCACCUGCUUCCGGGCUUGCCACUCUGACACACCUGCAUCGCAUCUCAAUCACCCACCAGAAUCGUUAAUAGAAGUAUUUAAGGAAGAGUCCGCAAUCCAAUCCCCUCCAGAUGGUUUAGUCAUCUACUGUCUCCUGACUUUCCUGACAGCCUGAACCAGUUUUUGACAAACCUGUUUUUGAAUCAUACAAUCCACCCACCUGCUACGCUGUCUAUCUGUUACUUGGUGUAUCACGGAAGACACACCGGAACAUCUCUCCGUGGAUUCCACCUGCCUGCUCAGCCCUGGGCCUCACACUCUGCCCAAACUCCUACACUCUCUGUUGUGUUCAAUAAAUCACCUUUAACUUUA